rnacentral:rRNA from 1 species
UACGUAGGGGGCAAGCGUUGUCCGGAAUCAUUGGGCGUAAAGAGCGUGUAGGCGGCUCGAUAAGUCUGCUGUGAAAGUCCAGGGCUCAACCCUGGAAGGCCGGUGGAAACUGUCGGGCUAGAGUCCGGAAGAGGCGAGUGGAAUUCCCGGUGUAGCGGUGAAAUGCGCAGAUAUCGGGAGGAACACCUGCGGCGAAGGCGGGUUGCUGGGCCGACACUGACGCUGAGGCGCGAAAGCUAGGGGAGCAAACAGG